ACACACACACACACACACACACACAGACCCAUGUAGCUACAGCCCAAACUGUAUAAGGGGUUUAUCUAGCUCUGUAAAGCCAAAGCGGAGAUAUAAAGACACACACAGAGCGACAGAGAGACUUUACGGGCGUGUUUGAACGUUUCUAAAUCUCGAAUAAUAUGUCUUCACCUGCUGAGGCGAGUGUGUGUGUAGCUGUUUGGCCUGUGUCUGUGAACGUCAGGAUACCUUUAGUCUCCAGUGGAUGCCUCACCUGCUGCUCACAUCAGGUUAUCAUGUGCAUGCAGUGCCAGACAUGAGAAUGAAGAGACAAACAUGAGACGUGCACCUUCAAGUCACCAGUUACUACAUCAACCUCAAAGGCCAUUUCAGUCAUUUUUCUUUCAUCAAAUAUACUGUGCAAAGUACAUGUAUUUGAUUCAUAGUCAUGUGUCUCUUAUUGGCUUUAAGCUGCAGUGCAACACUUUACCUGGGCCUUUACUUUGUCUGGGCCUGUAAGGUAAAGUGGACACAGAGAAGAAUUAAGUUAAGAGGCCUAUCAAUGUAACUUAGAACCGUCUCACACUCCUAGCUUUAAAGAGACUAGCAAGGCUUUUUGUUGCUCUCACUGAGAAUCACUGACACAAGCCUCUCAGCCUAAAUCCUAAUUGUAUCUGGAAACAAACUGAGCAUCCACUAUUUAACUAUUCCUCCUCUCUGCCCAAGAAGUGAGUUGUAGUGAGUAAUUGUUAUUGACCAUGGAAUACUGUUCGUUCCUUUUAAAAUGAUGAUCUAUCUGAAAUUUAGACUUACAAUGUGUAUCUCUAUUGUGUGUAUCUCACACAGAUACUGUAAGUGUACAGUAAUUGUUUAGGUCAAAACUAAGGCACUGUAUUCUGGGCAACUCUCCACUAUCACAAAUACAUAGAAAGGCUGUAUGUAAUAACUCUUAUUAACAUAAUGCCUUACUCAAAGCCUUGCAAGUAAGUAAGAAUGGAAAUAGUUUUGUUGGUGUUUAAUAGAUAAUAUUGUAAUAAUAUUGUGUACAUGUGCAAUAAAGUUUAUUUUUGAUGUGUCAACCCUGUAAAAGUAAUCAAAUUCUGUAAGUCCACAGCAUUUUACUUGUGUUACCUUCUAAUGUUUUAAGUAAAGUAAAAUCAGACUCAA